CGUGCCUUACUUCGGGCCUCAAAUUCCUUCGCAGUAUGUCUACCACAGACUUUUCUGACAAGGGAGACUCUAAACUAUCCAUUAGCUGAACUAUGGCGUCAUAAAAAGCAUCGAACCCUUCCUUUUCUUUUUGCUUCCGGUCCCUGAUCGCUUCUCGAAUGUCCACAUCCGUGCGAGUGUCUCGGAACUGUUUCCUUAAUGCCUGACAAAGCAAGUCCCAUCGUACAACUACCACUGACUUAUGAAACCUCCAAAAGAAUUCACGAGCCUUUCCGUCAAAGAGGAUGCUAGCGUUGCUACAUAGCACCGCGAAGUUGCUUUCCAGCGUUGAAUGGCUUCCAACCAUUCAUAAUGUGUACGACCUUGUCCGGCCUUUGGGACAGGUCGGAAGCUAAACUUCUAGGAGUGUCUCUGCCCUCUCGGCCUCCGCCUGCUUCCUGACCCUGCGAACUAUGGUCCUGAGCUAAGUUUCGAGUAUGAUGAUCUCGGCCAGUCAGUUGAAGAUGAGCAGCGACAUUGGUUUGUAUUAUUUGCGCCAUCUGCUCCGACAACUGGGAUAAAAGGUCGUUUUGCAUGGCCCGCACUGCUUGGGUAAUCAUGAUCUCUAUAUUCCCGCUAUCCACUGGAGCCGACCCUGGGGUGCUCCCGCCGCUGGGGUGCCUGAAGCUUUUUCUUUGCCUCCUGCCUGCUGUUUGGCGGUUUGCAUGCCCGAGCCCGAUGCGCCGCCUUGCAAGUCAAAAGUGACUCUUCCACACCUAGGACAUUUGGCAUUUUCCCUCGAAUAUGGCACUAUGCAAGCUUUAUGAAAUUCGUGGCCACACCUGGUCUUGUAUAACUGCUGAGAUCCAAACUCUUCUCCACACAGCAUGCAGACGGACGGAUCUACAGGUUCUCCCUCCAUUAUUAAUACGUUCCCUUUAUCUCCAACUGCUAACUUCCGCUUACUCUGUCACUCACUAUCAACGAUUCGAGAUUCAAAACAGCUGACCCGCUCAAUUCCCUUCGGUACUUCAACUAGCCUUUCCUUCUUCAGCGCUCACAACUCUCUGCCGGUCAAUGACCUAUCUCAACUGAACCAGCUGUUCCGCGUUUUAUCACCCUUGUUCUCUCCUAACACCUUCGUUUGUGACACUUUUUUUUUUUUUGCCGCUUGAGGAAUUGAGACGCGUUUAUUGUUGAAAACAAAACAUAAAACAAAUUAUAAAUAAAAAAUAAUAUUUUGUAAAAACCGCAAUAUAUAAAGAAAUACAAAAACAUUUAUUUGCCUUCAAGCAUAGCUUAGUUCACCUGAAAAAAAAUUCUUAUUGGAACUGGUGUGAGAAGAAAGAACAAACAUAAUUUACCGCUACUUGUGCCGUGCUAAUCAGCCCUCGCAACACCCAAACGUCUUGUUGCUUUGGCGCGCCGAUCCGCAAGACAAAAACAACGACUGCAAGCUAAAGUGCGAGUAAAUCGAAGCUAAUCAGUUUCGUCUUCUUUACUCUCCUUCGCACUCUUGCUUCUGCGGACAGGUAUGCUGGUUUUCCAUCACCCGUGGCCAGGCAAACUCUUUAUAAAGAGAUUGUUCUGUCUUUCCAAGCGUUUGAUGGCUAGCUCUGCCGCAUACUAUUGCUGAAAGUGGAUGGGUCUUUGCCAAAACUUGUUAUCCGUGGUCAGGGUAGACUUAUCUAAAGACUUCUUCCCUGCUUUUCCAAACGUCUAACUAGUUGGGCUACGGACUCCAUUACUGUAGGGUAUUUAAUCGCCUACUAAGCUCUACGUCUUCAGCCGUGGCUUGUCGAUCGCUGCUAGCAACUUCUCAACAAUAACUCCUAUGCGACUGAUUUGCAAAAUUUAGCUGACUGUGAAGCUCGUUAUUCUGGCCCAGAUGCUGCAGCAACCGUAGUUUGAGAAUAAAAGCG